rnacentral:lncRNA from 1 species
UUUUUUUUUUUUUUGUCAGCAGCUCUUCUUCCCUCAUUCCUCUCUCUUCUCCGGCAAAACCGAUCCCCUCUAACGAAGCUUUUUCACAACUCUUCUUUUUCUUCUUUCUCCUUCUUCUUCUUCCUUCCUCCCUCUUCUUCUUCCUUCCUCUCUCUUGGUAGAGGCGUGAUUUGCACAGGUUGGUGGAGACGAGCUCGACGGCGGCAGGUUGUCAUCCAUAUGGUGGAGGCGGCGAUGGGGGUUCCAGGCGGCAGCUGGGCAGAGGGGCCUGCUAUGCUUUGAUCGGAGGGAUCGGGUUUCGCUAGAGAAGAGGGAGGAAGGGCCAGAGAAGAGGGAGGGAGGAAGGAAGAAGAGCUGCGAAAAAAAAAACACAUGUCGUUGUGCGACUGGUGGGUCACCCAGGACACGGGUGCGGCUGUCGAACGUAAAAUUUUCUCUUUUGUGUGACACCACACCUAUAGUCAAAGAAAUGAAAUAACACACUACAUCUAUUAUUCAAUCAAGCUUGCCAUCUUUGACCUACAACUUUACAUCAACUUCACUUUACAAGUCGAAACAGAUUUUUUUUUCUUUUUCCUUUCUGAAAGCGAAAUCAAUCAAAUUUCCAUAGUCGGGUUCUCGUAGAAACAAGAUAAAUACUCUACUCACAUUAGUCGAUGAAUGGAUUGCAAGCAGCGAUCAUCAGUUAAAGCUUGGCAAUAGCAGAACCAUACAAAUUGGAUCUUUCAGGAAGCUUCAACUCUUCCAAUUCUUCAUCAUCACUAUCCAACUUAGAGAAGUAGCGAUCAACCAUCUCGUCAGUGAUAUGCUCCAACUUAGAAGGCUCCCAUUUCGGGUUCUUAUCCUUGUCCAACAAUAUCGCUCUACAACCCUCCCCAAAGUCCUUACUGAUCUCCCCUCUCACAACAUGGCAAACCAUUCUUUGCUCACGAACAAGGCACUCGCCAACUCCUUGCAUCCUUCCUUCUCGAAUCGAUCUCAAUGUGAUCUUCAAACUUAUCGGUGACGCCUUUUUCAGGGAUGCAAUCGAUGAAGACAACCAGUGAUCACGAUCAUGUAUACCAGUUGUAGCAAGCUCCUUCUCAAGAGAACUUAAAAUUUCCUCCACUGUGCUCUUAGAAAAGCACUUGUCAAUAACAUCUAUUCUGUGACAAACGCUCUUCUCUUUCACAGCUGGUUGCUGUGAGUAUUCAUUAAUAAUGGCUGAAAUAUUAUCAACAAGAUCACUGCUCGAUAUAUUUGUGGAAGCAACUAGGGCUUCUUCUAACGAGGCUAAUUUGGCUGAGGGAACAAAGUGAGUUGCUAAACCACAAGCGAGCAUUUCAGGACCGUCCAAUCUAGCACCAGUAAGACCAAGAUAUUCUCCAAAGAAUCCAGGAAGCCUUGACAGAAAAUAAGAAGCACCCAAAUCGGGAAACAAUCCCAGAGCUGUUUCCGGCAAAGCAAACACCGAGUUCUCAGUUGCUACACGAAACCUGCCGUGUAUAGAAACUCCGGCGCCACCUCCCAUGACAAUUCCAUUGAGAAAUGAAACCUGGGGCGUAGUGUUUUUUGCUAUCAAGUAGCCUAGGGUAUACACCCUCUUACCUUGUCGCGCUCCAAAUCUCCAGUUGCCUUCGAAAAGAUGACGAGCCACCACCACCACAUCGCCGCCGGCGCAGAAUGCUCUUCCUUUGCCUUUGAGAAUGACCAGCUUGACAUUGGCGUCGUCCUCGUAGGCGUGGAACAGUUGGCACAGCCGAGACAUCAUUUCGUAGGAGAGAGCGUUCAGUUGUCGAGGCCUGUUCAGUGUUAAUAUCCUCGCAAACGAGUCCCGUUGUAUCAAGAUUUGAUCAUCCUGAUCCGAGUUGAUGAAAGAAGCCAUGGGAGAUAUGAUGUUACUGGAAAUGUGAAAAUGAUAGUAGUACUGAACAAAUAAUAGUAGUAUUGAUACUUUGAUAGUAUGAUUAGUAUCGCUGUAUCAGUCUUAAGAAGGCGUGCGCCUGGAUCUAUAAAAAACAAAUGACUCUCCCUAGACUUUGCUAGCUAGUUGACUACAUAUUGAGCACCAAACAUUCAAACAAUAUGAGAUGGAUCCAAUUUUACGCAAAAUAAUUAAUUAAAUUAAUUGAAGUUGGGAUAGUUAAUUACUUCCUUGACUAAUUACCCUCCCUCAAUCAAAGAACUAUAUUGACGGUUGAAACAUCUGUCAUUUUUCAAAAGAAAAUAAAUAUUAAAAGUACUAAAUAAUUUGUCUUAUGCAAGAGAUAUCACUCAACCUGGUCUGCACGGUAUCUUCAUUUUCAUAUUGAUGAAUCCACCAAUCAGCUAUUUCCGGUGAAGAACGGGAGUUUGCACUGGACCUAGCUAGAUACACGAAACGUGUGAAUAUAUACAAGACAUAUCCAGAGAGUGCAUUUCACCCAGAUUUUUUAAAUCUUAAAGCAGGAAAUUCAUGCACAUACAUAUUGUUGAAUCAGAUUUGAGAGAGAGAGAGAGAGAGAGAGAGAGAGAGAGAGAGAGAGAGAGAGAGAGAGAGAGAGNNNNNNNNNNNNNNNNNNNNGAGAGAGAGAGAGACAGUACCGGCCAUUAUACACACGAGGCGGCUGGUUAUUACAAAAAUCUCUAACUACAUAAACAUUUUGAUUGACUGAAAUCGAUCCUCGUAGUAAUUAUCAUAUAAAAUGGUCACUAGUUUUAUACGAAUGGAUGCAUAUACAGCAUCCCUAGUUCUCUACGUACAACGAGGCUGCUGGUUACAAGAAUCUGUACCUACAUACGAUUUUGAUCGAGCUAUGUCCUCCUAAUUAUCAUAUAAAAUGGUUACACUAACGUAACAAUGUUUUAUUGGUAUAAUUUAUGUAAAUGUGAAGAGUUUAUAUAAGGUAGCCAUGUUUUAUUAGUAUCGUUAAUUUAUUAGUUUGGCAGAUGCAAUGUCCCUAUUUUUCGUGGGAUUCAUAUCUUCUAUCAUAUUGACAUAUUAAAUGGGAAGAGAUUAUAUAAUGUAGCCAUGUUUUAUUAGUAUCUUUAAUUUAUUAGUUUGGCAGAUGCAAUGUCCCUAUUUUUCGUGGGAUUCAUAUCUUCUAUCAUAUUGACAUAUUAUCUGCCUUAACAGAAAAACAAACUAAUAUAUUAACUAUAAUGUCAUGAACAGAGCCAUUUUUUUUUAUCUUAAAGACAAUUUUGUCAUUAGUACUAAAGUAGAGGGACAAUACGAAUCGAUCCACUGCCAUGCGUACAGAAGACAAUCAAGAUCAUAUGAUUCGUAUGAGGGCUGUAUCCUCAUUACAAAUUUCGACUCACAAGGAGCCUAUAAUCUAAUAGCAAAUAGAUCAUAGGCUAAGAUCUCACCUAAAAAACUAUAAAAAUGCUAAAGAAAGAUAGACUCAUAACGCCAAGACGCCAUGAGGCACAAAAAAUGUUUAGGCGCAAAAGUGCUUAGAGUCCUAAUGAAAGGAACUUAUUGUACUAGAAAACUAUAAUCUAAAAAAGCAUCUAAAGCCCAAAAAGAAAUUAAACCUAAACCCGAAACAAUUAACCUAGCCCAACUUUCUUUCACAAUUACAGGAAGGACAUGGAAGAGGAACAUAUUAGCCGUCGCCGCAAUGAGAUGAGGUUGCCUUCGUGAGACGUCGCCGCAGUUGCCGCUGUGGGACAUUGCCGCCGCCUUGUUCCGUACAGCCACAAGCACACCCCAAGGAGAAGAAACUCCAUUGUCGCCACGAACUUAGAGACCAAAUAACAUCUCCACCAAACCAAAGCUCCUCUCAUGAAUAAACAAGGAUGGAGAUGGAAUCGGGAAGAUGAAACCAGAUCUGCUCCUCGAGUCCAUGGUGCCAUACCUCCAAACCGAUCUGAAAAGCCAUGCUAAUCAAAAGCUGUUAAGAAUCUCUAGCAAAUUACCUCUCAAAGCAUUUGGUUGCUAACAUAUCCUUCAUCCGACAACAAAGUCAUACGGUUUCAGUAGAUCUAGAGACCCGUCUAACGUUAGACCGUCGCCGGAUGAGGGUUGGAUUUCGUGGUUUGCGGCCGACUUAGAGAAUGAACAGAGCCAUAUGUUAUCUAUAAUGCUAACAAAUGAUUUCCUCUCUCAUGCUACCAAUGAGAUUUGGAAUAACCAACAUGCUAGAGCUAACCAAGAAAUUACGAACUCAUGCAUAUAUUAUUAUAUAUGGACAAAUGUGUUGUCUGUGAUGAUAAAAAAUUAAAUUUGAUGCCCUACUCCUAAUUAGUAACGUGCGCGCGCAUAUUUAUAUAUUUUGUUCAUCGAUGGCUAUAAUGAAAGGAUCAUGUAAAUGACACAGUCUAUAUAAGUACAAUCGUGUGGAAGAUUAAUCUCCGAGGUUUCUUUUAUCCUCCAUCAAACAAGUGCAUUUCUUUUGCUGGCUACAAAGUAGUCGAAUUUAGGUUGAAAUGUCUGCAGCAAAUACUAUGCUUGGAAACAAUUGUUCACUCUUGGAAAAGGUCACACGCCUAUUUGUUACUAGAUUUAUAAGACAAUAUACCUCCACAGGAUGUAUAAUGUGAGUAAUGUAUACUUAAUUUUGGUCCUAAUUGUUUGACAUCUAAUUCAUUACAUUCAUGUUUAUACUUAUUAUGCAUGCUCUGAACCUUUUUCUUCACUCUUUCUCUUCAUAAAGCUCAAGGAAUCAUAUCAGUAUUGAUCCAAAUAAACAUUUAGUAGGAUCAUUUGCAUUGCAUGUUUCUCUCUUGAUCAACACAAUUCGCCUGAUUUGUUGCGAGUAUAUACGAUCUUCAAGUGUGUGUGUGUGUAUAUCUUAUGCAGUAGUUAACCCAGUUCCACUCGAUCUAUCUCCAGCUGUUUCUGUUUGAGGCAAUCAUAUCCCUUAAUAUAUUGACUCUUACAAAUAAAGUUUUGUGCACUACUGUCUUGUAUACAGUUUAAUAGAGGAAGACGGCACAACGUUAACCUUUGAGGGAACGAGCAUCGGUAGUUCUUUGAAAUCUGUUCUUAAAGUUCACAAUCCUCAGUUUUACUGGAAGGUAAACCAUUCUCAUUUUGGAUUUUGGAAAUUAUAAUUCUGAAUUAUGUACGUACUACUUAAUCUCAAAAGUACGUUCUCUCUUUCAGGUAAUGACUCGGUCUGAUUUAGGCCUUGCAGAUGCUUAAAUAAAUGGAGAUUUUUCUUUCGAUGAUAAAGACAAAGGUCUUGAGAAUCUCUUUACGGUAAUAUCACUGAUCAUGAUUUUCGACUGCAUGCAAGAUUGUUUGUUCAGUUCGAAGAUUAAAUUCCGUUUUACUAACUUAUUCAGUUUCCAGAUUCUCAUUGCCAAUAGAGAUUCAAAUUCUUCCCUCUCAAAAAUGAGCAAGAAAAGGUGCAAUUAACAUAUGUUACUGUCGAUCAUAAACUUGAAUGGAGGUAUAUAUACCUAUUGGUCAUCAAAAUCAUUGUGUCAAGUACUUAAUUAACUGAAUGUUGCUUGUUACAGCGGUUGGUGGACGCCAUUGUUAUUCGCUGCCAGUAUGACCCCUGCACGAUAUUUCUUUCAUCAUAUUACAAGGCAAAACACACUUACACAGGCUCGGAGGAACAUCUCUCGCCAUUAUGACCUGGUAAACAAUUUACAUAAUGUACGUUUAAGGAUUAAUACAUGCAUGUCUAACAUAUGACAUGAGAUAACUCAGAAGCUCAUUCCAAUUUUGUGUGCGCUGACCUAGAGUAAUGAACUGUUUUCGUUGUACUUGGACGAAACGAUGACGUAUUCCACGGCUGUUUUUAAGGUUAGCAUCAUCAGCUUUCAACAUAUUGAUAGUAAAUUACACCAUUUACACAGCAUGAAGAAAGUAUAUAUUGUAAUUUAAGUAUACAGUUGCUCCUCGUUUUUGAAUCAUUCUGUACGUAGGAAGAAGAUGAAGAAUUGAAGAUUGCACAGCUGAGGAAAAUCAGCAUUUUAAUUGAAAAGGUGGUUUUAGUUAAUGUUUCUUUGAUAUAAAACACUUUGUCAAGAAUCCUGCAGUGCUCCAAGAUCUUGGUUAUUCCAAAACACUUCGACUUGUUGACAAACAUAUUUUUUUGUGUUCUUUUUUCUUAUGUGGGAUUCUUUUUAUUUUAAAUGCGGGACUGCUUAUUCUGGAACAAAUUUCUUUUAUCUGAGAUUUAAUUUUUUGUUCGUUUCUAUCUGUUUCAUUUAGGCUAAAAUUAAUAAGAACCAUGAAGUCCUAGAGAUUGGCUGUGGUUGGGGCAGCUUCGCUAUUGAAGUCGUCAAACAAACUGGUUGUAGAUACACUGGCAUCACUUUGUCUGAGGAACAAUUGAAAUUUGCCGAAAAAAAAGUGAAAGAUGCGGGCCUUCAGGUAUCAAACUAAAUAAUUAAUUUUCCAUUAGUAACAGCUCUCAGAAUUCAACUGAUAGAAGGAUUAUGAGAUUAAUAUAGACUCACUCACUGGAUUAUUGUAAUUUCAAUCAUAUAAUUGCAUGAUACCAGGACUACAUCAAGUUCCUGUUGUGUGACUACCGCAAACUGCCUCCAAACUCCACUUAUGACAGAGUCAUUUCUUGGUGAGUAUUGUCCCCGUUAAAUGUCAUCUAGGCAAUUCAAAUUACUGCCAAACAUACCUUGAUGUGUGGUGAAUUUAAUUUGCAGUGAGAUGCUAGAACACGUCGGCCACAAAUUUAUGGAGGAAUUCUUUGGUUGCUGUGAAUCUCUCCUAGCAGAAAAAGGACUUCUUGUUCUACAGGUAACAUCCAAUAUAUUAAUGUUACUGACCAUUCUCCACUUUGUUGGUUUGCAAGGUGGGAAAUUUGGUUGCCUAGCUACCUAACACUGCUAUGUUAAACUACAUUUAAAUCUUAUAAAUGUAAACAUCCAAUAUAAUAUAUAAGCUAAUGGUUUUGGGUGGUUGAUUUCUUUAGUUCACAUCAUUACCGGAUGAGCGUUAUGAUAAGUACAGGCAAAGCUCAGACUUCAUAAAUGAAUAUAUAUUUCCUGGUGCUUGUAUACCUUCAUUAAGUAGGGUAACAUCAGCCAUGGCUACUUCUUCAAAACUCAGGUAUAUAAUAUAUGACAUAAUUUUAUAGUCAGUAUUAUAUAACUGUAGUGCUUGUUGUUUUCACUUAUGGGCUUAUGGCCGGAACUUCUGUUACUGCAGUGUGGAACACUUGGAAAACAUUGGAAUUCAUUAUUAUCCAACGCUAAAAUGUUGGAAAAAAAUUUUCUUGGAAAACCAGAAGUAAGAGAUUGAUAUUCUUUCAAGUUCAAUUGUUUACAGAAGGCUAUGAUGUAAAAUUGUUAUACAUGUUGUUGAUGCUAUUGGUGGUGCAUUGUCUUUUGUGUUUAUAGCGAAAUACUAGCUCUUGGAUUCGAUGAAGAGUUCAUCCGGACAUGGGAGUAUUAUUUUGAUUAUUGUGCGGCAGGAUUCAACUCAUGCACACUUGGAAAUUACCAGGUUCAUUUCUUGCUUCUAACAACCUUACAUGUUCAUUACUAAUCAAAAUUGGUAAUUCCUGUGUUGUAUAUAUAUGUACCAAUUUUCUGUAAUUGACUAACGUACGGUUAACAAAUAGUCAUAUACCGGCUCUUGCAGAUUGUGUUUUCUCGUCCUGGUAAUGUUCCUGUAUUAGGCAACCCCUUCAAAGGCUUCCCUUCAGCAUAUUGAUUGUGUUGUCAAGUCCAUCUUCAGGACAAACUGUUGCUGAUUAAGAAAUGGUGCUAGAAAGUUAUUUUGUGUUAUGUUUGAUUGAAUAAGCCUUAUCACAUGAAAAGGUUUUGUCUUCAAUGUAAUUUGCUUUACCAUAUCACAGUCUCCUUGUAACAUAAUUCCCUUCUUUGAAAUAAAAAGUUUGAUAAUCUAGACAAUAUAUUUUGCAGAUUUUCCUUAAUUUUUUGCUAAUUAACAACCGUAGGUUUCUUGAACUGUAAGAAACUGCAGAUGCGAACUCCUAGUUUCCAGCAGUUCAAGAGUACAAAACCUUAUUAAGAAAAUUAAAAAUGGAGUUUUACACAUUGCAUGUUCAAAUGACAGCAUCACAAACCCUAAUCUCUAUAUGUGUUAACUUAUAUAUUUGUUUGAAGAAUGGUGCCGCUCUGUUGAGACUAUAUAUACUCCACAUGUGAAAAACUAGACUUAUUUGUGGAUUUAGGAGGAUUUGAGCCACUCGAUUCAUUACUAAUUUAUUUUAGAUGUGAACUAUAUAUUACUAUAUCUGCCCCUUGCACAUAUAGCUAUUGUACAGAUGCUAUAUAGUUGAUGUAUACCAAGUCCAACAUAGCUAUAGCAUAUUGCAAUUUGAAUUCAUGAACAUGCAUCAUAUAUUCACAAAUCCAUAAUAAUUAAAUUAGAUCGUGUUAUGUUACAUUUCACUAACUUGACAAAUGUUCAGUCCCACACAAAACAGAUCGAUACAUAUCAGUAGUCAGAAUAUGUAUUAAGAAACAAGCUAGGUAGCAUAGGAUUGGUUUACUAAACAAUUAACACUAGCCACCGUAAAAGAUUACAAUUAUCAUUACUUUAAAAGGAACACAAGCCACCAUCAAUAAUUCAAAUGAACAAAAAUUAACAAAUGCAAUUCCUUUGUCUUUGGUUAGGGUGUUAUUGUGCAACGGAGCUGUAUAAAUAAUGGUACAGCUAAUAAUGCAGAGAGAGAGAGAGAGAGAGAGAGAGAGAGAGAGAGAGAGAGAGAGAGAGAGAGAGAGANNNNNNNNNNNNNNNNNNNNGAGAGAGAGAGAUGGCAGCAGAUGAAGUAUGUCCUAUGAAAGGUGGGGAUGGCCCCAAUAGCUAUGCCAAGAACUCCACAUACCAGGUUCUUGAACGCUAACCUUUACUAGCUACGUAUAGAGUGAUAUCAUAAUAAUCAUCUCUGCUUCAAAUAAAUUAACUUCUUGUAUCGAGUUGUAGGAAAUUAUUGAUAAAAUGACCAUCAACUAAAUGCAACAUUCAAAUUUGCAGAAAGCAGCGGUGGAUGCUGCAAAAGAACUUGUAAGCAAGGCAAUUGCAGAAAAUCUUGACCUAGAAUUCUUGUUAGCUUCCAGCAGUACUUUUCAUAUUGCGGAUUUGGGUUGCUCUAUUGGACCAAAUACAUUUUGGGCAGUUGACAACAUUCUUGAAGCUGUGAAAUUGAAAAUUCAAGGGAUGAAAAAGUCUCCCAUGACCCUUGAAUUUCAAGUUUUCUUCAAUGAUCAUGCCCCUAAUGACUUCAACAUGCUCUUCAAAUCACUCCCUAUGAAUAGGCAAUAUUAUGCUGCUGGUGUGCCAGGUUCGUUCUAUGGUCGCAUUUUUCCUAAAAAUUCAUUUCACUUUGUUCACUCUCUACUGCCAUUCACUGGCUCUCUAGAGUGCCAAAAGCUGUAGUGGACAGAACCUCUCCUGCUUGGAAUAAAGGAAAAAUCCAAUUCUCUUAUUCCUCGGAUGAAGUUAUAAGGGCUUUUGAAGCUCAAUUUGCUGAGGACAUGGAGUGCUUCCUGAAUGCGAGGGCACAUGAAAUUGUGCAUGGAGGACUCAUGGCACUUAUUGUUCCAGGCCGACCCGAUGGUACCCCUCAUUCAAAAUCUUCACUGAAUGUGAUCUAUCACAUUUUAGGAUCUUGCCUCAUGGAAAUGGCAAGGAAGGUAAGCAAUUAACAAGUUCUCUAUCUCGAGGUUAAUUUGAUUUGUUUUAGGGUAUGCCAGAUCAUAUCUAUUUGUUUUCUGCAGGGAGUAGUUAGUGAAGAGAAAGCGGAUGGAUUUAACAUACCAAUGUACUACAUGUCUCCUCAAGAACUGAAAGCUACUGUAGAACUAAAUGGAAGUUUCACUAUAGAGUGUAUGGAAAACUUACCUCGUCUCUCCACAAUUGACGAUGUCACUGAAAGUGCCGAACUCGUUGCAUCUCAUGUUAGAGCUGUCACGGAGGGUCUCUUCCAGCAGCAAUUCGGAGACGAAAUCUUAGAUGAGCUCUAUGACUUGUAUCUUACCAAACUCGAAGAGCAGCCUUCCAUCUUUGACCCAACAAAGGCUAUUAACUUUCUUCUUGUGCUUAAACGCCAAGGCAAAUUGAUUUGAUCGAACAAGCUGUUUUGGAAUCAAUAUAUCGUUAAACGAUUUUUAAGUACUUAAUUCAUUGUCCAAAUUGCCAUCCCCUUGUAACAUUAUUCCUUUUUCUUAAAAUAUUAAUCCUAAUUAAGAAAGAGCAAGUAAAUCGCUAGGAACUUUUAGUCAAUAGGUGAUUGUGAGUACGUAACUUAAUUGGGCCAGUUAUUUACCUUAUAAAAUUAUGCAUGGUAUUGAACAAACAUUAAUAUGACACUAGAAUUACUAUACAUGUCACUAAAAGGGCAAAGGCAAAAUCAAAGCGAGGCAAAAUCUGAUUCAUACAGUUCUAGGGAAUAGUAUACUGCUAAUCAAGCUAGCUCAUAACACAUGCAUGUUCUUGCAUCCACAAGAGUUGAUCUCACUUGCAAAGGUCUAUAGUAAAUGAAAAAGAAAAAAAUUGACUCAGCAAUAAGCAAUUGCUUCCUUGUUGAUGGAAGCUUCACACAAGUCUUCUCCUUAUAGUAUAAUAUAAUGCUUCAGCUGGUUCAUAUAUUGCAUACCUGAUCGAUCUGGUUUUGGAUCGAUCACCUUCAAUAUUAAGCAUCUUGUCAAAUCAAAUAAGCUGUAGAUGGAUUCAUUAGUGGAAGGUGUUACCUACAAGGUUGCAACCGUUAUGCCCUUGGCUGCUGGCUUCCUUACCUUUGUGGCUGUGGAGUGCUUUGUUGAUCAAUUGGUCGCUCCAAUCAAAUUCACAGUUGGGCAGUACUUGGCCAAGUACCUUCUUGCCUGCAGUGGCCCUAUGGUCACCAAAUACUUGAACAUCUAGCUUGCUUACAUUCUCAGCUACAAGACCAACAUCGAGAAUCUGUUGAAGCAAGUGAAGAAGCUCAAGGCCGCAAGAGACAUGGUGCGGUGCGCCAAGCUGCCGAAGACGCCAAACAGAGGGGCCAAGUUGCAAUCAGAGCUGAAGUUGAGAAAUGGCUGACCAGUGUGGACAAGCUCACCGAAGAGGUGACCAAAUUCUUCGAGUACAAAGGUGAUGCCAACGACGGCUGGUUUCGUUGGUUCUAUGGUUUGUUGAUGUCGCGAUACCAGUUGAGCAAGAAGGCAAACAAGAUGAUAGAGCGUCUUGUUCAACUCCAGGCCGAUGGAGCCUUUCUAAUGAAUUAGUUAGUAACUUAGUAUAAGUUGCUUGUGAUUUUAACUUGUUUCUUCAGCACUUGUAUGUUUUGUAACAAUUGAAUGAUGUCUCUGUGUUUAUGAAAUAAUUUGCGUAUUGAUCGAUUUAAAAAAAAAAGAAGAAGAAGAAAAUAUCAUACAAGUUUGAUCUCCAUUAAUGGAGAUUAGGGCUUUGCCUUUCUCAUAAUUUUUUGCCAAAGGCUUUCUUUGAAUUUUCCUGAUGAAAUGCCAAUACUCCAUCUUAUGAGCAAGCACUCUCCUAACCAUUUAAUUUUUUCCAUUAUUGUCUUGUAUGCCUGCUCAAACAAUCUAAAAUCAUGAACUGCUGAAGUCGAUCGAGAUCUCAAUGCCCUUAAUGCAUGGCAGCCUUCCACUAGGCUCAGCUCAGCUUUGAUACUUCAUACUUGAAGGCACAUACUAAUGAUACUAAACAGCUCAUUUCUAUUUUCAGGUGUCUAGGCCUAAGCCCAAGGAUGAAGCAUUAGUUUUUCAAUUUUGAUAAUAAUAAUUGCAAAGUGCAAUGCUAAUUAGUCCUAAAUCUUUAAUUAGCUAGAGCAUUGACAUUUGUAGGAGGAACAAGGAUGAGACAAGAGCAGCAGAGUCUGAAACCCAAUCGGACUACAAAGUUGGAAGAGUAUUGAACUACUGAUCUAGCUUCCAAUGACCUGUCCUUGACAAUAUUUUACUUGGAACGUAUCCCAUCUGCUAGCUAGAUCGAAGCCAAAAUUCAAAUGAGUCGAACACUUGACAAUUGGCAUGAUUAUUAUAUCAGCCAAAGGGUCCUGCAAAUUAAUAACCAGAAACAUGCAUGCAUGUGGAGUUUUACACAAGACAACUAGACAAGGAUGGUGAAACCCCCAAUGAAAUGCAGAAAAAUUUGACAUCUCUAGCAGGGUUUCUGGUUUAAUUGCAAUUUUAAAGUUCCAGUAGGCUAUUGCAAUUGCAUUCAUUUAAGAAUGGGAUCCUUAAGAUCGAUGAGGAGGCAAAUGCAAACGACGGAUCCCUUAAUGGAUUCUCACUUAAUUUGGAGUUGAAACUUGUCGUAUUGCAUAGGAUGCCAAAUUUCCAAUGGGGAUAUCUUCUAAACUAGUUCCAAUUGGGGUGAGGUAGCCUAUUCCAAGACCGAGCAUUACUAUAAGGCCUCCUUGCAUAGAUCGAUAAUGCAAACUAAGAGUUCAAGCUUCUGUCAUGUUCCACAUAUCCAAACACAUAAACAUGAAAAACUCAGACCCAAUCAACAUUUCAUAAUUAAGAUACAAUCCGUAACUUAUUGCUUUGGUUGCUAUAAAAUAUCCAAGAUCUCAUUUCUAGUCUUUACCAUACUUGUUUUGUUUCUAUUAUUAAAAUUCAACAUUCAACAUCCACCUGCUUAAAAUUUUCAAUGGGGAAAGCAACAGUUUUGUAUAAGCCUAAUAAUGCACCGAAAUGAAACCAAAAAAGUCUCCAUCUUCAGAAAACUAUGAGCAAACCAGAUUUUGUCGACUUGCAGCUUAGCCAUGGUCAUCCUCUUACUUAGGGACCAUAAAGAAAUGGACAAAGGCUCUUCCAGUCAAUUUCAUAUCAGCAAUGCCCGCCGCUCUUUAUUUUUUUGAUACAAGUUGUAGAAAAAGAAGGCUAAACUGAAAUAUAUCGACAUUGAUGUAAAAAUCCCACACAAAUUUAAAAGAGAAAUUACACACUGAUCUGUAUAGUCUCCUUUUUCCUAAUUUCUAUACCUAUUUCAGGCGGUUUCAAAAAAAAAAAAAGAAGAAGAAGAAGAAGUACAUGUAUGCAUUCGUCUACGAUCUUCCAUUGGUUUGGUUAUGGCCAUUGGUGACACCAUUUCGUGCCAUGGCCAUUUCAGUCUCAGCAGCUUUAUCUGCCUCCUCUCGGAACUUCUUGUAUAUAUCACUCUGGUAAAACUUCCUUGUCCUCAUCACUAAAAUCAAUGAAACCAAUGCCCCAAAAAAUGUGGCAGCUGUGAUUAUAAUGAAGGACAACUUGAAGCACUCUCCACCAAGACAAGUCAACUCCUCGUCUUUAUUCCUCUCGAGCCCUUUGGCCACCAAUUGCUUCAUCGCCUCCUUAUCGUAUACAUGACCGGUGAGUUUCACGUUGAGCAAGUACAAGCCGACGGGACUCGCGGCUGAACCAAAAUUGUACAAAGUCGAGUAGUACUUGAGCCCGAAGAGCUCAGAAAUUAUGGCGAAGAGCAAAGGCCAUUGAGCGCCGAAGCAAAACCCUAUUAUGACCGAGGCUAGGUAGAGACCAUUUUUAACAUUGAAGGCAAUGAGGAGGUGACCAAAGCAAGAGACAAAGAGGGUUAGGGUUAGAAUGAGAGGACGAGGGAACUUGUAUCGUUUUAGUAAAAAUUCCGAGACGAAUCCGGCGACGACUCUACCGAGAUAAUUCCAUAUGCUGACCAGGCCGACGAAAGUUUUCCUGCUGCGUGUGGGAUAUCCCAACGAAGUGCCAAUCUGACCCAAGUUGUCAAUUGCUGUCAAUGUGCCCCCAACACCACAUAUGCACGCCAUGAAUAGUAUGAGCAUGUCAAUGCUGAAUAGGGCUUGAAGAAUAGUGUAGUCUUCUCCUCUAUUUGGUGGCCUAAAACAAGUUUUCCAACAAGAUUGGCUAGGUUGUUCCUCUGUGGACUCAGGAGUUUCAUAUGUGACCGGCUCCUUUGACACCUCUAAUUGUUCUUCCGUGGGAACGACUGGCUUUUCCGUCACUAUUUUGACGUCACCAUUCAUCUCGAGCUGUUUUCUCUCCCAAAGCUUGUACUCCUCGAUUACAACAACAACAACGGGAAGAGCGAGCAAGAAGAGCACCAUCGCCGUGCUGGCGCCGUACUCUUGUUGAGUAAAGUUCACCCUAUUCUCUACUAUGAUCAUGAUCAUCAGAAAUCCGGCGAGGCCGAGAGAGAUGUACAACAUGUUGUAGAACACCUGGACCUCGUUGCUUUGUCUAAUCACCUUCAUGAUCCUAAUAGUCCUCAGAAAAGCGAACGAGAUCGCCGCCGGAAGCCACCCGAUGAGCAGAAUCAAGGCCCUGGUGUCGUUGUAGUAGAAAGCAAAGUACAUCUGCGUGAUGAUAGCGCCACUGAGGCCGACGUAGCCCUUGAGAAGCCCUAAAACGACGCCGCGGCUCUCGGGGAAGUUCUUGACGCAGGUGACCAGCGAGCCAGUGUUGGCGAACGACUGAGAAUUGGCGCCGAUGCAAAUGUACAAGCACAUCUGCCAGACUUUUGGUCUCGCGAUUUUUUUGGUGACGGAGAGCCAGAUCAUUAGGUAUCCUAAGAAGUUGAGGACGGCGCCGACCAGCAGGACCACCCACGGCGGCGUGACCUCGUUGAGGAGGCCGGAGAGGAUGCCGACGUUGGAUCCAAAAUCUUUGAAGAAGCUGAGGAGGUUGAGUGUAGAUUGGUCGUAGGCUAGAGCUGUCUUGAUGUCGGGAGAGUAGAGGCCGAACAUGUAGGUGGCGCCGGCGGCGGACAUGAUUAAGAGACAUGCAAAGACCAUGAACCACCGGCCGUUGAGGACCUGGAGGGUCAGGCUUUUGGUGUCGGCCCAUCCUCGAGGACCGGAACCCGCCAUGGCUGGAUUGAUAUAUGUAUCUAGCUAGCUAGGUUGAACCAGAGAGAGCUGUAAGCAAACUUUGGUGUGGAGUAGAGAGAAAUGUAGGAGGAAUAUAUAGAGGAAGUCACACAAAGAGAGCAAGUGACAGAGAAAGAAGAAGAUAUAGUGUCACACCAAGACUUGGUUGACUACGUUUAUAAAUGGAGUAAAUGGGAGGAGUAAAUAACUGAGGAACAAGAUAGGAACGAUAAUCCGAUCCCCUAAUAUAUAUUUCAUCUUAUCCAGAGGAAAACUAAUGUGGGGAAAUUAAAGAGUGAAUUUCUUUAAUUUGGAAUCUUCAGCUUCAGCUGACAGUUAAGUGUUCCCUGCUCAUAUUACGCCACCAUUUUGGACAAAGUCUACUAUACGUACUUAUCCAAAAUGAAUAAAUAGAGAUUAAUUUUUUUUUUUUAAAAAGACGGAUAAAUAUCCUAGCACCAAAAUUUUGAUUAAAUAAAUAUUUAGAUACUUUCUUUCUAAAGAGCAUGUGCGGGUAUUUUUUUUAUAUUAAUAUUAUGGCUACUAUCAAUAUGUAAUAUUUCAUUUUUAUUACCUAAUAAAUAAAGUUCAUUAAUGUCAUUGAUUCACCCUUUAAAAUCUAAAAGGAAAGCUUCUUGAGUCUUCUUCUCUUGUGGAGGUUCUGGUAACCUAUAAAAGGAAAGCUGGACGUCCGAUUGGAAGUAAGAAGCCGCGACAAAACAAUAAGUCUGUCAUACCUCCGCAAAGCAUUCCUGUCACUUGGGAGGUUGGUACGUGCUCUUCUGAUAAGGGCAAAGGUAAGGCUUGAGCUGUUGGGUGUCCAAAUCCGGGGUGCCCAAAGUAGUUGGGCUUGGGUUCUUUUUGGGCCUGUGCUCGAUCCUUUGGGCCCCUAGGUUUGUUUGGUCCCGCAGUUUACCUAGCAUCUCAAUUUUAAUUUUUGAUAUUUAAUUCUUGGUAACUCUAGUUGUACACUAAUUGCGGUCUCUAAGCGACUAGUUUUACUUCCAAUGAAAGUUAGAUAGACACUUUGAAAUUCGGGUGUGUACGUAGGCAUAAUAAGUGAGCUUAUAUAUAUGCAGUGAGGGCUACCUAUCAGUUAGUCUGUUAGCUUGGGUUGAAUUCAAUAUUUGGCACAAGACGUUAGUUGAUGUAAGUGUUUUUUUGCCGUGGAUAAAUAAUAAAAUUAUUUAUUUAAAAAAAAAUCUAAAAGGAAAUAGAAAGGGUAGAAUUGAUAAUGCAAUAUUAUGAUUUAGAAAAAUAUAUUAUAUGGAAUUGAAAAUAAAUAUUUUUAUUUAUAUGACAUAAUAUAUAAGAUUAAAGCCACAAAUUUUAGGUCUCACCCCCUCAUAAUAUCAACGCCCUUAUUAUGUAUGACUCAAUAACUUAUUACUUUCUCACCUUUUUUUUUUCUUUGAUACGUACGUAGUUUUCUUGAAUUUCUUCCAAUACAUCAACAUGAUUAAUUCGUUUUUAUUGUUUUGGAUGAAGGUUUAACCAAGAUAACUACAAAGCCUAAGGAGCUGGGGUCCAUGCAUCUCGCCUUAUUCUAAAGGGUAGGAAGUGGCUGUUGAAGAUGCUCGAGGAGGAUGGUUUGCUAGAGGAGGUAAAUCCCUCUACUGAUUCUUCAGAAGCAAUGGAAGUGGUUGGCAAAGAGGUAACUCUGCCUCCAAAGAAGAAGCUUUCAACUGAAGUUGCUACAGUACAUGGAGAUGAAAAAGGCGGUAGUUAAAGUGGUGAACUCCACUUCGAUUAUUACAUCUGCUUGAUCGGGAGAUCGACAAGAAAAAUAAGAAUUAUGUUGACACAGUUUAUAACACUUCGGAGUUUUUAAUCUCUUUGUUUUUGGUUUUAUCUUCGUAGAAGGUGAGUGUAUUUGGAUUUAGCUAGGAUAGUUUGUGUGAGAAGCGUAUUAUGGGCAUGUCGUUAUUUGUAUUGUUUAUUGAGAUUCAUUAAUGAAUAACCUCUCUUUACCAAAAAAAAAAAAAAACGUCACAACAAUGGAAUCACGAGCGAGUUAAUUGGAGCAUCAGAUCGUACUUUUCUAUCAUCUAUGAUCACUCACAAUAUCAAAUUCCACAACGUUGAAAUUUCAUAAGAAAUGGGAACUUGUAGUACGUGUCUCUACGUACUUGCCUCAUAUGGUUACUUGCCCCUACUUGCUUUCUCUCAACAAAUAUUGUCAUACUAGUCCUCUCUUUUUUCUUUUUUUUUAUCACGUUUGAAUAUCCAGCAUUUAACCGUCCAAAAAUAAAAAUAAUCUUAAAAAUUUAUUAAGUACGUUUUAUCUAAAUUAAGUGUCUUUCUAGUAACUUUCGUUGAUGAUGAGAUUGAAUAUUAACAUGCACUCUAUGAUCACAUCUUGCUGAUUCAAGUGAAAAAUUUAGUAAAUCAACAAUCUGUUCGAUCGGUUAUAAUUAGUACUACAUAAAACAACAGUGAUUGAUUCGAUAAUAAAUCCCCUUAUCUUGAUGCCUUAUACAUAAGAAAUAAUUGGAGUAGUAGUUUAAUAUAUGAAUUCGUCAAUGUAGGUGCUGGAUAUUUCUCUAGAGCAGUUCGCAAAUGGUGAUGCAUGCUUGACGCGGAGCUAGCUCGAUCGCAAGUAGCUGGGAACACAAUACUGGAAUUUUCAAAGUCAUGCAGUAGCUUUGACUAUGAAGAUCAUGACUGAUGGAUCCGAUCGCCCCUCAUAAUAUCAGCAAUUUAUUCAUUUGUGUAAUACAAAGUCGGUCGGAAAUGUCUGGUACAAGAGCAAUCAAUAGCUUUGAGGAAAUAGUACAUCUUCAAAUAUGUGGCUAAGCCCUGCCCAUUGAUUUCUGAUCGAUUGUUCAUACGGAUGUCGAUCGAUGACAAUAUGUUGAGUGGCUAUAUAUUAAUUAGUGUUGUCUUGUUAAUUACCAAUUUUGUUCUUCUUCAAAUCAUCGUAAGAUAAAGUAUCUCGCUGGAUCAUUAUCGACAAAAUAUAAAGUCUUUAAUAUAUAAAGAGUAUUAGUUUGUUAAAUCUAUAUGUCAGUUCAAAUAUUGGUGAACAACAACAGAUCGACAACUAGAUCAUGAUCGAUCACGCUAGUUGGAUAUCAGAGUUUCGAAUGUGUGAUUCCCUUAAUUAAAAUCUUGCGAGAGUGCAAAGUACCUGAAACUCUGGUCACAUUUGUUUCGCCUUCCUUUCAUUCUUUCCAUCGUUCAUACAUUAAUCUUAUCAAUUUGUGCUCCACUACCCAACAAACAAUACAGCCUUCGUGUUUGUGUGCCUGGUAAUAUAUAAUGAAGAACUACAAUGCAUGUAUACACGGAUAUCGGAACUCCAAAUGAUCCUAAAUGAUUAAUUUUUUGCCAUCAUUUGUAAGGUCUUUAUCAUAUCGUGCGUGAUUGAAAGUCGUAUAUAUUCCCCCAAUUAGGGUUUGGAGUUAGCAAUUUAAAUUUAAAGAAAGAACAUUAGUUUGCAUCAAUACCAUUUAGUCUAGUGGUAUUAGUCUUCUAUUUGUAAGUAUGAGGUGCUAGACUCAUUGUAGCAUUUCAGUUAUUUGUUUGAUAAAAGAAAAAACAUUAGUUAAUUAAUCUAUAAUUAAUUUGGAGUUGAUUAAUCAAGAAUAAUUCAUGAUUUUAAUAAAUAAAUAUUUAAAUUCCUCUCUAACUUUAUGUAUCAAAUUUGAACGUUGGGAUAUGCCAUCACCUUGCUUGUACCAAACAAUCUUCUAUCUUAGUUUUAGUCAUUGCCAAACUCUGUCAGGUGUUAAUAAGGGAAUCAGAUCCUACGCCAUUCCCAUAUUAUAACCUUGAUCUGAUCAAAAACUCAAAUGUGAUCCAUUUUAAUAUGAAAUUCACACCCUGUCCCAUGUGUAACUCAUAAGUGCUCUUGCAAUAUAUUCGUGAAAAAUAACGACUUCAUGUUAUAUAUAUAUAUAUUGACCUAUCGCUACCUAGUGUGUAAGUUGUAUAGCAAUUAGCAUUUCAUUCUUUAAUUAUAAAUCAUUAAUUGGUCACUUUCUUCGAAAUUGGCAAUGGCAUUUCUAUUUGCUUAAUUGCUUGCUAUGUGAACUAAUCCUUAUCAUGCAUAGUGUGAUUAGCUAAUUAAAUAAAGAGUGCAUUGUUAAUUACAAUAACUGAUAAGCCAGCUUCAUAAGAAACAAAGUAUGAAUGAUAAGCUUUCAAUCAGUAUCAUUAACGUCUUAAAAGAAUGCGUUAGAUUGGAUUCUUAUGUUUUUGAUAUCGUUUAUUCAAACUUGCUGAAGGGCCAGCCUUUGCCGCACAGAUCGAACUUCUUCUAAUUGUAUUCUAAUUAGUUGAUUAGUCGUCUAUAGAUGUUCAUGUCAAAUUCGUAUAUACCUGAUAUGAACGCUCACAAUUGACCAGUUUGUUUCGUAAUCCAUUUUGUUAAGCUUAUUAGCACACACUCGAGUGAGGCAUCCAAAAUCUAUUUUCUUUAAUUUCCUUGCUCAAGUACGUAGACGAUUUGAUAUACUCCAAAUUACUCCAAUUAGUUUGUAACAGACUGUGGUCAAUGAAAUUCGCGUUUUUGGACAUUUGUAGUGAAAUUUUAGUUUUUUUCAUUCUUAUUUUACCAAACAAUGUGUCAUUCUCAAAUGACUUAUCUAAUAGUACUCACUAAUUGUUAGAUACUAUUGUAUUUGAAAAUACGAUUCUCGAUCAUUCACAAUUUGACAACUCAACAUAUGAACCGUAAGUAUAUACUCUUUUGUACUACUAACCCGACCUCGUUAAAUACUAGUUAUAUACCCGAACACAUGCUUGUAAGUGUGACGACUUUUUCGAUCGGUCCAGUCAGUACGUAGCCCUCAUAAGUUGUCAUUUACGAACAAAGCAUAGUUGAAUAUUGAGCAGACUACCCGUCACCAAUUUCUCAUACCAUAUUUGAUAUAUCCAUCCAUACAAGCCAAACCAGAGAAUUCAUACCGGUGAAAGCUACAACAUUACCUAUUCUAUACAUGGAAUCAUAUAUAGUACUAUUUUCCUCAGUACUCAUUCGUUUGGGGUCAAUGCCGCUGUUCAUACGCAAAGAGCAGCCACACGUAUACUUGCACAGAAACUUUGGAUAGAGGUUUGGUAUUCUUCUCGAGCUUGAUAUGUUGACGAUUCGAAAGAAGCGAAAGAUUUCCUGGUUGCUCUCUGUCUAUUUAUAUAAGAUCAACUCAGCUGGCUAGUCAACUCCCUUGAACAUCCGGCAUUGUAGUUUUCUGUGCUUUUGGAAAUAUGUUGAACUGAGCCACAAAGCGAUUCUGAUCUCUCUGUUUUUCGCCUUCGUAAAGUAGGCAGAGACCAAGUGUUUACACAGUGAAAGGGAAGAAAGAAAAGUCUUAAACCACAUGUUUAUGAUUCUAAUUAACUUAAUCUAUAAUCUUCAAAAUUCUGGAGCUAGACAGAUUCGCUUCCUUGUAUGCAGUUCUUUUGUUUUUGUUUUCCGAUAGUGGGUGUCAUUUCCAGCACUGAAAGGUUCUAGUUGAUGACAUCUUAAUCCAGAUCAUCAGAUUAUGUUUCUUUCAUAGAUAGAACUUAGAAGCUUCAUAUUUGACUUUGGAAAUAGGCCCUAAAAGAGCCUCAAUUUCAGACUUCGCUAGUCUUCUGGUUUUACUUGUAAAGUAGAAAGCUGCUUGAUGCUUUUCUCAGAUUCCUCUCCUAGCCGCAACAGUGACUGGGAAUUUUGACCCAUCUUGGAAUACAGAGCCCCUUGCGAAGCAGCUCCGCUCAUGAGUCCUUUCAUCCAUCUCGAAGACUCAAGAGAGAUAACUAGUCUGAAAAGAUCUAUCAUUAACAAGUUCACAAUCCCAUUGAGACAUUCCACAUGGAACUCAACAAACUUGUAUACUAGCUCUGCGGUAAGAACACGAGGGGAGAUAAUCUGGCCAAACAAUGAGUGUGGACUUUGUUAUGGUUUGGUAUCCCACAGUAGAACCAUCCAGCACGACUGAGUUAAGAAACAAAGUAAUGUUUGGACUCAAAGCACGUACUGCAGAGAGCCACAUAUGUUCCAAUAACUCCGUUUCAUCACAGUAUGCUUACACAAGGUCUAGAGACUUAUAGUUGGGGGUAUAGAAUUUCUACUACCAAAAAGACUAAAGAGAUGAAAAGAUGAACACAAACAAAUACUAAUUUUCAACAACAGGUCUAUUUUUCCAAUUAGAAUUACCCUAAUCUCUCAUGUUCCUUUAUUUCUUUGUCAACAAAAGAAUUAAAGGAUAGAAAGAGAGAGGGUUACAAGUAAUACUCAAACAAGUAACUAGUAAACGAUAGUAAUGCAUAAAAGUCCUCCUACGCAAAUUUACUUUCAACAUCCCACAGCAAGAAUCUAAAAAUCGUACACAUAACAGCUACAAGUUCAAUGAAAACUGACAAUCCCACUUUUAGACAUUAGUAGCGGUCAAAAGAAGAUGGGCGGCCUCCCCUGCUAGGGCGGUCGUAAGGGCCAGCCCUGCUACGGUAACCUCCCUCAUCUCUUGCUGGACCUCCUCUUCCAUAUCUAUCACUGCCACCUCUCACUCCACCAUCCCUGUCAUAGCCUCUGUCUUUUCCAUAGCCAUUUUGGGGGUAACGAUCAGAACCACCAUAUCUGUCACUAGCGAAACGAUCACCAGCUGGGUACCUGGAGAGAAUAAGUGCAGAAAGUACAGCAUAAGUGCAACUGUAUAAUUAAUUUUUUUUUUUCUCCCAUCACAUGUACAUAAAACAAAAUGUUUUAUUUAAGCAUUAAAGAAUAUAAAAGGGGGUCUGAAUGCACGCAACUCAAGUCUAUAAGCUAUAACCAUACAUAACGACAGAAUGGAACAAGUAGUGGAGAAGUAAUUGAUACCUGUCACUGACAUAGCGAUCACGGCUCCCAUAUUUGUCCUCCCUGCUGUCAAAACGAUCCCUAUCUCCAUAGCGCCCUCCAUCAUAACGGUCAUCCAUGUAGCGAUCAUGAUCUCCACCAAAGCGAUCCACACGCCCACCUCCCCCAAACCUAGAAUGUGAAGAGAAUGAACCUCCCCCUCCACCUCUUCCACCACCAGCAGAUGGGCAGUCUCGAGCCCAAUGUCCUGUACGCCCACACUUGAAGCAUUCAUCUUGGCCCACAGAUCUAUCACCACCUCCUCCAUAGCUUCUCCUGCCACCAGAAGAGUAUCCUCCCCCUCCUCCUCCUCCUCUAUAGCCAUGAUCAGAAUCUUCACCUCCCAUCCUGGGUUGGGCUUUGUUCACAGAGAUAGUGCGGGAACCCAAUUCCUGUCCAUGCAUCUCCCGGAUUGCAUCUUCCAUUGCUCGUCGAUCUCCAAAUGUGAUAAAACCAAAACCACGAGGACGCUUUGUAUCUCUUUCCAGCAUGAUCUGCAGAAAUUCUACAUUAGAGUGAUCAUACCCAGCGUCUACAUAAACAAAAAAAUUAGAGUGAUUUCUUCUCAACACAAUGAUACUUGCAAGAUUUGCAAGUUAGACAGAAAGAGCAUCAAACAACAAAAAUUAAGGAUGCAUUGCAUUAGACAUGUAUGACUCCACCACUCGGAAAAUUAAGGAUUCAUUGCAUUAUAAUAUGCAUUAUAAUUGCAUUCUACUAAUUCGAAGUAUCAAUAUGUAUAAUGUGAUACCACUGAACUGACAAAUGUGUUUCAAAGCAUGAUAAAUAAUGAGAAUACAAUUCAUAUAAUAUAUAAAUAGGAUAGAACAUUGCAAGUAGGGCAUGAUCCGGUUUAACUGAGAAUCUGAGAUUAACAAGCAAUUGAAACUAAACCCACACCGUAAACACACAUCUAAGAGAGGACAGGCAUUAUAAAUUAGACCAAUCAAGCAAUGAGUGAUUCAGAAUAUAUUUUAUCGUGCGAGUGACUAACUAAAGAACAAUAAAAUUGGAGACGCAAUAGGGAUUGUACCUAAAAUACGUUUUGCAACAAUCUAACUGGUAAUUAAAAAUGAGUUUAUACUUACUUUCCUUUUAUAAAUAUGGAUAACAGAGCACCAUUUCAUACUGGAAUAUUUCUGAUACUAGAAGAAUCCACAUCUGACAACAGAUGACCACUGACCUCGAAUUCCCACAACAUCAAAUGUACUGGUUCCAGCAUAAACUGUUCCAGCAUAAAUGCAUAUAGUCUCUACGCCCAGAACACUAUCACUUACACCAGCAGUUACAUCGACACCCCAAACAUCUGUCUUGUAGUCACAAAACCAAUAUUCUUCUGGCAAAGCUACACAGAUCAGCCAGAAAAAGGCAGCUCUUGCAGCAGUUGAUCUUUAAACUAUUCAAAAUUAACAACUUAUAAAUACAUCUAGUUACCCACGGCAGACAUCUCUACUCUGCAUACUAUGACCAACGUGUUCCAUAACUACAUGGCUCCAUCAGUCUUUCAACAAGUCAGAAACAGUAACCAAAACAUUCAUAAACAAGCAAGAUACUCUGUCCAAGAUAAUGCUGAUUCUCUUUCCAUCAACUAACCCUGAUAUAGUCAACACCUGAAAUCAUAUUUGUGUUUCUGGCUUUUUUGAUUUUUAGGAAAAUCCUACAAUUUUUAGUACUAUCAAAAAUUCGAACCCUCAGGUAUUAAGGAGUCUUAAAUCAAAGUUUCAACUAUAAAUACGCUAGAAACCAUCGAUAGAUAGUGAAGCAGUGAUGUUGCUGAGCUCAGACUUGUCCACACAAUAUGAUAAUCAAACAGAAUACUCCUUCUGACACUUUCAAAAGUGAAACUGAUCUGAAUGAUGACUCAAAAGACCAACAGACUGCAUUGCAAAAACGUGGUCAUAUGUGAACUUGCCAGACUGACAGUGUUGGAAGCCCCAGUGCUAAUGUCAAAAAAACUCUACAAGGUCUAGAUGAUCUUCAUUCCCCGCUAAACCAGCAUAAAUAGCUUAAUCAUCACAACAAAACAAUAAUAGCAGAUAAUAAGCAGUUCAAACAAAGUUCAAGUGCAAGGCUCAAAAGCAGCCCUAACUUCAAGUGUGCUCCUCAUUAGCAGAUGAGAGGAACCCAUUGUCAGCCAGAAACAGUUUAGAGUCACUAACCCAGACUAACCCCUCAAGCAUGAACUAACUAAAUCUGACACUUUGGAACCUCACCCAAUCAGUCAUCAGAAGUCUACUAUAUCUGAACAAAAAGUUAGCAAGAGACGACAAAAGCUUUGCGAUAUAGUAGCCACUAAGAAUCUGCCCACAUAACAGAUGAUUGAGUUGAAGUAGAUGACCCUCUGAAUUCUAUGAGAGCAGAAACAUGUGACAUGAAGGAGGAGGAGAAAUUAUCCGGCUCAAAGAUCUCUCAGAAGACAGACACAACCUUCACCGUCAUGUUUUGAAUCAAACCAACCAAAAAUAUUGGCAAGCUGAUAGAUAUAUGGGCCUUUGUUCUACUUAGAAAAAUAAAAUAAAAAAACUUCUUGCAGCAAAAGAACCAAAUCACUGGUUCAAGCAACAACCAUCUGAGGCUUCAGCACUCGAUGAAAAGAACCCAAAAACAGAAAGCAUAACUUCAGAGCAAGAAACUUCUCAUAUUUGACAUGUCAUCUGACUUGUCAUUUAGUCGUUUGAUCCUCUAAGCAAUACUUAUGGUCCAACUUCCCAACAUUACCACAGGACUUUCUUGUGGAACUCGCAUCUCUUCCAAGAGAUUAAACCUAAAAUUAGCUGCCUUGAACCAAACUCCACAAAUCGCGAGACCAUCUGCUAAUGUUUCUAUUUCCUGUCUUGAGAUCUGUAGUCCCAGCAGCUAUAAUCUACUACCAAAAACGACACACAGUCUGCAAACUCGAUGCGACCACUUAACAAAAACAGCUCUACGAAAUAUCCAUCAAUGCACGGCAUCAAAAGAUCAUAACUCCACAGAACAAGAAAACAAAAGAGCAUUAAUAUACAAAGAUAACAGCAAAGUAAAAUAAAGUAUCGUACAGAGAAUCAUCAAAACAGUAUCAAACACAUCUAUACAAUCUAUGUAGUGUACUAUAUCCAUACAAUCUCACUGCUCAAGAUCCCGAUACUACAACACCUUGCGUUUUGAACAGUAAAUUCACCAAAAUCAAAUCAAAAUUAAGCAUUUUACACUCCGAAAACCUUUGCAAGUCUCAAAUUUCAUUCCAACUUUAAAACCGAAAAUGUCAAAUUUUCUUUUUUGUUUCACAAAAUAGCACCGAAAUUCUCAAUCAAAGAAUCUAGCAGCAGAUCAAACGAGAGCCUCCAACUGAUUAACACAACCAAUCUUGAACCUUCUUUUACUAAAAUCCCUAAAUCGAACCCCGAAUUUCAGAAAGAAAUUUCAAAACCAGCAAAAAUUUUUCAUAAAGUUUUCAAGCAAAAGCAAAGAAGCUUCAACCUAUAAAGCGCAAGGCACACAAUUACAAGCGUCGGAGAACGAAUUGGGGGUUACCUGCGCUUCAUGGACUUUGCCAAAGCGAGCGAAGGCGCUCUCGAGCUCAUGCUCUGUGACUUCAUAGGCUAAACCUCCGACGAAGAUUCGGUACUCUUCUCUCCCGGCCAUCUCUCUCUUUCUCUCUUUCACUCUGUGUAUUUUGGUUUGUACCCAAACCCUAACCGCUUCGGCUUCUCUUUCUAUUGCCUCAGUCUUGCUUUGAAUUUCUUUUUCCCCUUUUCUUUUUCUAUUUAUUUACUUUGUAAAUUAGGAUAGGCCCCAAUUUUUGAGGUCCUUUUCACUUUAGUCCUCCAACUUUUGUUUUUUUUCUUUAGUGCUCCAAAAUAUUGUAAUUUUGUAGUAAGAGUUGUUAGAUUAGAUUUGAAUGAGACAUACAACUAAAUAUGACUAAUUUAAUGACUCAAUUAUAUAGUUUUAAUACUUCGGAGCACUGUGUAAUGUAAAGAAAAUCUCCAAAGCAACUAUAAAUCCCUCUAGAAUUUUGUGUCUUUUUGUAGAGAAUUGUAGUCUAAUAGUAAUUUUCUCUUCUCCAUCUUUGAUGUCAGGUCAAGUGACAAGUGUCGAGUUCGAAUCUCAGGGCGAAGCAAAGACAAGAAAGAGAAAAAAGAACUGAUCGAUCUUGAUUCAUUAUAGCAUUGGAGGAUGAAACAAUUGCAAAUAGUUACAGCUGUGAAAGAAUUACAUCAAUGGACAUACAUAAUUUACAGGGCUGUACAUGAAAUGGCACAGGUAUCAACAAGUGAUUGAAGUGUGAUCAACUUUCAGGCUUUUCAUCCCUACUUCUAUUGUUCUGAUAAAAGGGGGAGCCUAGUAACACUGCUACCACCACCCCCACCAGUUAGUGAUUUAGAGUUGGUCGAUUUUAUAGAACCGGAUUUUACAGGUUUUGAUGAACUCUUCUUGUUUAUCCUCAUGGGAAGAAUCUGCAACCUCGGAUUGCGCUUAGUGCCUGAAUUUUCAGCUGCCAACUGAUAACUUUCCACCAGUUCCAGCUGUCUAGCAAUUAUUUCGGAGCAUCUUGGAAGGAGCUCUACUGCCUCUCCACCAGGAAUUACAAUAUACUCGAUUGCAAGUCGAACCUCCUGACACAAACAAAAGGAAAUAUGUGGUACCAUUAAGCAGAUGAUAUAUGCUGACAGAUUCAAAAUCAGAAAUACUGAAAGCAAAUGUGGAGUUGCAUAGCGUACAACAGAGAGGACAAUUUCUCAGAAACUGCCGGUAGAGGUAUCCAUAGAAAAUACGUGGGAUGGGAAAGGAAAUGCACCUCCAAUGCAUCGAUCUCUUCUAAAGAUGGUUUUCUUUUGGGUGCAUCAUCUUCAAUUUCAAUGUCAAAGGAAUUAUUGACAAGCUGCUUUGGCAAAGAGCCAACUGAUUCCAUUUCAAGAAUCAUACGAACUGCCUUCACGAUUUGAGCCAUGGUAUUUGACUGCAAGAUAAACAUCAAAUAUGUGAGUGAGCCCCAGCAAGAUUACAGGCAUAUACAGAUACAAUACAUAGACACAGAAAGUCUAAACGGACAUUACCUUCAUGACAAAUACAGGCAACUGGUGAAAUUUUGCUACACUACGGAUCCAUGGGUUUUGCUUCAUUUCAGCACUUGAUGCUAUAAUUGCAUCUGCUGUUCCAAUAUCAUCAGAUACCUCAAUUUCAUCCUCAAGCCCCAUUACCUUUGCUACUUGCAGUAGGUCAGCUUCAAGGAUCUGCAAACAAACAAAAAUGAAGGGUCAAUUGAGAUCAUCUGCCUAGUCAGCAACUAUUGACAAUACAAGUUCUUAGGGGUUUUGGUCAAAUUACAUCCUUCAUGGGUGUAGAUUUCCAAUUAAAGCAGAAAGUGAACCAUGUGGAAACCAAGUAUUUUACCUUGUAUGUAUAUAUACACACUGGUGAACUUCUCUUCUUCGCAGAUUUAUCACUGCUCAAUCUUCUAGACACAUUGGGUGGAGGAUCUAGAUCUUCCUCGUCAGACUCCAAAACACUAGCAACUAUGUCUGUAGUAACAACAAAAUCUGAUGCUUUCAGAUAGUUGUGUUCAGAGAUUUGAGUAGGCAUGCAAGAGUCAUCAGCAUCAGCAUCAAUACGACGAACUUCAAACAAAGGAGAUUUCCCUAUAAGCCAGAAACCUUCAUAUCAGAUUAGGUGUUCCCUUACAACUACUCAAGUAAUAAGUACAGAUUCUAAAGGAGAAAAUGUGAAGUACCAGCUAGUAUAGCAUCAACUGUUGCAUCUAAUCUGUGAUGAACACGAAAUUCUGUUUUAGAUAUGAUCUCAACAGCACAUGUAAAUGUAGGAGGCCCCUUUCUUUCAAGAAUUGUCUUUUGAACUUUCCUCUUUCUCGCUUCUUCAUCUCCCAGGGUCACACUCUGCAAUUUACAUGAAGAAUUCCUUUAAUCUAUCAACAUUUCUUAUCCGGGAACUGCUUAAAUGGUAAUACCAAUAAUGAAUGAUCAUUGCACUGGAAAGGAUAAUUCAUACAAUAUGGCACCUUGCAGAAUUAAUGCCACUUUGUAUACCCUCUUUUAUUUGGUUAAUCACUUUGUACACUUACAAAAUGAUAAACUUGAUGCAUACCAGAAACACAAUUGAAAAAUGUAUAUAACUCCAAUUUGAAUGAAUAUAGAGUGGAUGGCAUUGUACCUCUAUGCCACCAACAAGGAUUUGUAAAGAAGGAUUCUUUAUGAUGUUGUCUAUUGUCAUUCCAUGUGCAGUUCCAACUAGUUGAACUCCUCUUUGGGCAAUAGUGCUGGCAGCCAAUGCUUCAAGCUCUGUCCCAAUUUCAUCUAUUAUAAUGGUUUGAGGCAUAUGAUUUUCAACUGCUUCAAUCAUAAUCUGCACAAAAGGAAAGGGCAAAAGAGAUUAUACAACCAAAUGAGUUGCAAAAGCGUAAUACUACUGGGGAACUAAAGCAACAGUGACAGAAAUGAGCCCUAUAAUCAAUGUCAACACUCACAUUAUGCUGCAUGUUGACAUUAGGAACUUGCAUCCUCCUUGCACGGCCUAUUCCUGCAUGCGGAACAUCUCCAUCUCCUCCAAUCUCAUUAGAUGUAUCCACUAUUACCACACGCUUCAUAUGCUCAUCUGCCAACAUUCUAGCAAUUUCUCUGCACCAACAACACAUCCAAACAAAAUUCAGAACAUCUUCGCUCUUUGAUUCCAGGUCACAGUAGGAAAACAUCAAAGUAGUACAUAUACCUGAUCAAGGUCGUCUUGCCAACUCCGGGAGGUCCUAUCACCAAGAUUGAACCUCCACCCUCAACCAAGUCGCGGAUGACCUCGGCACUCCCUGACACCGCUCUCCCCACCCGGCAAGUAAGUCCAAUGAUUUGCAGCUUUCGGUUUCGAAUAGCACUAAUACGAUGUAACGAGUUAUUAAUUCCAGAACGGUUAUCAUCCGAAAACUCACUAACCUGCAAACAAAACAAAAUUUCCAAAAUCGAAUAAGAAAACAUACCAAAAAAAAUAGUUCCAUCUUCAUCAAUCAACUUCUAAGUAAGCAUAUAAAAAGUUGCAGUCUUGUUUAAAUUGUUUAAAUAAAGUGAUUAGUUACCUACUAAAGAAUUAAACCAAUAAUUAACACCGCUAACCACCAAAAUGGCUUAAUUACUAUUUCUAGAGAACAAUUGUCACAGUCUUUUAUCACCUUAGAAACAGCGAGCCGGAGAUCUUCAUGGCUGACCGGAGUCUCCGAGAUCACCCAAUCACCGGUCGGAAACCUCGCGAUCGGAGGCCGCCCCAAAUCCAUCACAACCUCAAUGAGCUUCCCGAUCUCCUCAUGCCUGUACAGCUCGCUCUUCAUCCUCUCCGGCAGCAGCUCCAGAAACAUCUCCAUCUCCGUCCGCGACGUGGACGCCGAGCUCCCGGAACUCGAAGACGGAGAGUUACCGGAGAAGAACCGAUCCGAGGGGCGGCGAAUCUCCGGCGCCGGCGAGGUGGAGGAGUGUCGGGACGAAGCGAUUGACUUGUGCGCGCCACGUGUCCGACGAAAUGAGGAGGAGAGUUUGGAGGUGUGGAGAUAGCAGAGGGUGGAGAUGGGGAUUUGGUUGGCCGAGUGCCAUGAGGUCUGGAGAUCGAGUAGCACCAAUUGCGAGCUCAGAGCUCUCAUUCUGUUACAGACUGGGAUUUUGCUUUGAUAAUUUUUUUUUUUUUUUUUUAAGCUAACGAUCGGCGAGAAGAUUCGGGGGUAUCUCCACUGGGAUUGGAGCAUAUUUUGGAGGGAAGAUGGGGCCCACUAACCAAAGAAGUUCAUACACGUGGGGGCUGCUUCAACAGCCACACAAUUUUCCUCACCCUCCUUUUCAUUUUCAGACAAAAUAGAAUUCUCGAAAAUUUGUAUUUCUCUGUUCCUUGGUGUAUACGAUUGUGAAAAAUACACACUACACUGAGUACACGUAUAGAUUAGUCUGAUUCUGCUGAAAUAUUUUCAUGAAUCUCGAUGUAAAUAAUUAAAUACUGACGUGGUGGCUGUGUUGAUCAAGGAUAUAAUUGAAGUAGCUUGAUAUCUAAUUUUAACCCAAGUAGCUGAUAUCUAAUUUUAAGAAGAAAGAAAACAAGGAUGAAAAAGAAAAAAAUUGUAUGAAAGGCUGGAUGGCAAAUCCCAACACGCUUCCAGUCCUAUAGGAAUGGUCCGAAUGUGAGUAGGAGGAAAUUUUGUACUUAGUUGACGUUGGAAACUAUCAACUUGAACCAAACUAAAUGAACAUAAUUUCAGCCGUGCAAGGUUGGGGCAGGUCACUGACAAAGACGGCACCGCUGUGGCUGCUGACUAUUUCGGAAACUCAUACUAUGGUGGAAGAUCAAAGAGAGAAAGAAAUGCUAAGCAGUUGGCAUCUACUAAGAUGGCAAGUUCUAGGAGCAAUGCAAGUCAAGGUGGGAGGUAUGGGGGGUUAUGCAACUGAUAAACGGUCAUUUAUUUAUGCACAUUAUACGGUUUACACUUCAUACUCGGUUAGAGUAUUGCUGCAAUAUAGGCUUGAGGCUCAGAAACUACGCUGUACAUUGAUAAGGAUGGAAGCUGCUGACUAAAUUUGGCGCAAUCUAUUCCCAACCCAUCAGUAUAUUUCUUACACCUUCCUCGAUUUUGUUCCUUGGCACCGAAGGACAGAAUCCUUCAUCUAGCAGGAAUCUGUAGACCUCCCACUCCCGAUCUCGGAUCAUGUGUCUCACUAUCUCAGCCUGAAACAAGUUGGUAAAGAACACAAUGAAUGGUAGAAGGACGAAUUAUGUUGGAUAUCAAACCAAGAUGUAGGAUAUCACUGGAAUAAGACACUUAUAGUGGUGGUUAGAGCUAAUACCGAGAAGAUGCGUGUGCUCAGAUCUUUGAGGGCAAGAGUAAUGUCAUAAAAGACAAGAGGCCGGCCCCUGCCGGACAACUCAACCGGGUUUGCUACCAACAGCUCGGUGUCAGGGCCGCGGUUCACCACAGCCACACGAAGCGGACACAAAAGCUCCGCUCUCAAGCGAGAACACAAGGCAUCUUGCUUCUUGCUGUCAACAAUCUUCUUGCCAUCUGGUUGCACUACAAACAAGUCCAGCUCACAAUUCCCUUUUGUGUUCUCAUAGAAUCGUCCAUAAGAAACCUGAUAUUAAACCCAUAUUUUAUAUACAAUGGUCAGUAUUAUUCACUAAUAUGGUAAAUCACAACAACAACAAAGAGGAGGACUAAAUUGAAUUUUAUCAGCCAAAAAAGGCUAGAAGCACUGGCAUGAUACAAACCUUUUGCUCGCCAGAACUCACUACUGAUUAUAAAUAUAUCAAUUAUACCAACUUUACUUUACAUACAUCUCUCUAGUAUGAUUUUACCUGAACUCCUUGACCCAUGUAAAGUUUAUUGAAGUUUUAUUAGGAGAUUGAGAGCAUACAUCAAGCAUUUAACGUCAAACUAAUUAGUUUCUGCAUACUAACAUCUAUAUUAACAACAAUGACAUGUUUGAUGUGAGAAGGUAAAAUUGUGAACAGACCCUAAAAUUUUAUUUCUCCCCAAAAUUACAUAGCUUAAAAAAGAUGUACCUGAAGGUUGCAAUCCUUUAGUGUUCUCAUGAUGUCAUACACUAGACCUUUAUGAUCUGGACAGAAUAUUUGAACUAGUGUGUGAGAUGGGCUGAGGUUAUUGUCCACUGUUAUCGAAAUGGGAAUGGAGGCAAAAGGUCUUUUUAGGUGGCCGUUGGUCCACUCCAAACUUAACAUUUCUUCAGUGAUUUCAGAAGGAAGAUAAUGAGAACCCUGUGAACAUGCAGUAACUUUUGACUCGGCCAAUUCAAUUUCACAACCCAAUAAGACAUUCCCCAAGACAGCUUUCAGGCAAUGAAUUGUUUCAUCUUGCCGUCUUUUUGUAUGCAGCAGUUCUCUGAUUGAGAAAGAGAAAGAAUAUGAUUAGCCAUAUCUUAGGAGGAAAGAUGAAACAAUCUCAGAACUGACCCUCAACUGAUGUGCCCUCACACAGACACGAUGAUACACUAACACCUAGACCGGUAUAUAAUAAUUGCAAAAACAAGUUUAAAGAACCUAACUGAAAAUAUUUUGCAAACAAAAAUUGAAGGAACCAUGUUGAGGAUCUGUUUCUCUUUUACUCUAGAAUGAAACUUGAGAAGUAGAUAUACCAAAAAAAGAAAGAAAAGGAAAGGCAGAAAUGAUGCACCAUAUAUAGAUAGGGAAAUAAUGUCAAGAGUGACAAACCUGGUAUCUGUAACAAAAAAAAGGUCCAUCACUUUCCCAUCUGGGGUAGUAGACACCUUCACUCUCUCUAUUGUGAGUUCAAGCUCACAAAGAACCUUAGUGACAUCUAUUCAGUAAAAAGAAUCAAUAAUAAUCCCAAACUAAAAAUAUAUAGAAGUAUAGAUGGCACUUUUUUCUCAGAUAUAGAUACAUCGAAACAAGUAGGGUAUACCAGGUAAAGGAAAUGAAAGAAAAGACACAGAUAGAACCAUCACUUCUACAUUGAAGUUGCCAAAUGGAUAUGCACCUCAUUAUUCAUUCAACAUGACCCCUAGUUUGAUUUCUUUUCUCUAAAUGGGGAUAAUACAAUUACUGUACUCAUCUAUGCAUAAAAAUAGAUCACAAUGUUAAAGCUUUAAAUAGGCCAGUCUGAAGAAUAGUUUAUGAGUAACCUCAAUCAAUUUCAUAAAUUACUAAAUUUGGUAAAUUUUAGUUUAUACAUUAUGAGGGAAAUAAAAACUACUGAUAAAGCUUACAUCCUCGUAUACUGUUAUACAUAGAAAUCAAUUAUUUUCAGUCAGUACUCAGAUAUAGUCUAUAGUCUAUAUGAAGAACCCAAAUUGUCAUCAUUAUAAAGAUCACCGACUCUCUCUCUCUCUCUAUCAUCAUAACAAAAGAAGUGAUCUUUUCCAGCUCAAACUGUUACUAGGAUAGUUGCAUUGAAGAUUGAGAAAGUGUGAUGAAUCAUUUAGCAAGAGCAAACAACCGAAACAUUACUGUUAGAACCCAAAUGACAAAAUUCUCUAAGUCUUGUUCAUCUAAGUAAAAGUAAGCUGUGAAGAAUCAAUUCAGAGUGAACAAGUAAUCAUGCAAUGACAAUCUUGGAAAUGAAAGUUUACCAUGCAAUAGGCCUUCCUGUUCAUAAGAGCACCAGAAUUUCAAAAGGAACACAUCUAGUGGCUUCGGCUGCUGAUUCUCCGGCCGAUAAUAGUAUAUCCCAGAAGUGGUAAAGUAUGAUGGACACACUUCUAACAAUCUCUUUGUCAGCAAAUUCCACCUAGUCUCCGGCUUUCCCACCACCCAAAACACUAUGUAGCACCAUUUUCCGUCGGUCGAAACAUCUUCAACACAAAAGCAACAAAAAAUGUUCACUUUCAUCAAAACAGUAUUGAAUUCUACUAAUUUUCCACUACAAAUUCUAUGAUCCAUCAAGAAUGCCUUACUUUCUGCUUUACAACAAAAGAUCCUAAACUGAAGACUCAUUCUUUGUGUCUCUCUAAAGCUCGGAUCGACCAAUUAGUGUUUCAGCAAACUUCAAUAAAAUUCAUUACAUGCAUUCUCAAGAAUUUCAGAUCCAAAUAGUAAAAAACUUUUCAAUGUUCAAAACAAACCACACCACUUUCCCAGCUCAAAAUAAAAAACCACCUCCAGAAAAACCUCAAAUUACUCAGAAAAACAAAGCAAUCAAACCAAAAGCUUAAGAAAACCUCACCUCCUCUGCAAAUGCUCAGCCCAAACAACAAUAUGACCCUGCACAGAUCACAGCCUAACCCAGUUUUGUCGGGGCAAUUCACAGUGACCACAGUGGGAUCUCCAGCCUUCUCUCCCUGGCUAAUCACUACCACGUCCUCAUGCAAAAUGCCCAUUCCCGCCAAGUUCCUCUGUUUUUUUUUUUUUUUUGUUCUCUGUUUUCCGGUGACCAGAAAACUGAGCAAAAAGAUACCCAAGUUGGGUCUGGUGGGUAUCUUCCGAUUCUUGCUCUUGUUUUUUAAUGAGCAAAAUUAGUGGGAGAUUCCAAAUAAUAGAGGAAGAGUUUGAGAUCAGAUAGAAUCAUCCAGAUAGAAGAUAACAGAUGAUGGUUCUGUUUACUUAUGGAAUAUCAAUUUCUCAUAUUUAUCGGUGGGAGAGACUGAGUGAGAGACAGAGAUUAAAGUCUUCGAGACGUGGUGAGUAGGUGGACUCGAGUAUAGUUGAGACUGAUUUUCAAAGACAACUUUUUCGGUGUUGGUUUCCGACCGUCCUUAAUUUUCUGCUAUUUCAUGAAAACUAACAAAUAGAGUUUGGUGAAGUUCAAGUGGACCGGAAUCGUCCUACUAUAGGGGAACACCAUUAAUCAAUUUUGUUUUACAUGAUUUUGUUAUAAAUGAAAAAGAAUUAUGAUUAAUGAUACAGUCAUGAUUUAUUAGUAUAAAAUCUUAAAAAGGAAAUGGCCAUUAAGAAAUUUUUGGUUUCUAUAAAAAAAUAUGUCGACGGCAAGUCCCCUCAUCAUAUGUGGAAAUUGCGAAAUCGGUAGGUUAUUUAUGAUAUACAUACAUGGAGGAAGAUGCUACCGGUUCGUUGGGAGGUGGCAGAGAUAGAGAUCUAGUUUCAAUUAGUGUUGAAUGCCCUUUAUUGUUUCGAGUCAAGGUAUGAUAUUAGACUUACUAGUAGGUCAACAUAUUUAUGAGUUGACUGAAUUAUAAGCUGAUUUCAUGUCUAGUUACUCAUGUUGCUCUUAUGUCAAUACGGCUCAUGAUUCAAAAGUUCAUUAUAAGUAACGUUGCGAGCCUCCGUUGAGAAGCAAAAGAACCUAAGAAAAUUUUGAAUUCAUCGGUAUUUUAGAUAAAAUCUCAACAGUUCAUUUCUGACUAAUUUGGUGCUAAUCUCUUAUAGGGCUGAAUUCAGACGUUGCAUAAUGUGAUAUGUUGAAGUUUACGUAAGAAACUCGUAUGAAUGACUAUAAUGAAAAAUGCACAAAGGAGUACCAUAGUUCCCCAAAUGUAGACCAACAUUACGAAAAGGAAGGAAAACCUUCACCGAACACAUUUGAGAAAAGCACCUCACGCACAACUUGAUCUAGAGUGAGAAAUUGAAAAAUGUUGAAAAAUUAUUCUUGAUUCUAAUAUGCCAUUCUAGAAGCUCCAAAAGCUAGUGAGGUCAUGUAUGAUAUAACUUCGCAUGUAAAAAAAUCAGCUUUUUAUUCAAAAAAUUUAGAUUUUAUAGUGUUUAGCAAAUUAAUGAAAAUCAGCUUUAAAAUAAAUAAAUUACAUGUUAUUGCAAACGCUUUAAGAAACAAUCAGAAUGUUACUUUUAGAAGCUAUUGUCAAUAAAAACACUAAAAAAUAUUACAUUUUGUAUCUGCAUCAUUUUUAGAACUACUAUUACUAAACACAAACCAUUUUAAUUCAUAACUAAUUAUUUUCGUAGUACAACAACUACAUUUUUUCUACUUCUUAAAGUCGCAAUAACAAACUAACCUUGAUUUGAGUUCAAAUUUCCUUAUUUUCACUCAUCCGGGACUUAAAACGUGAAAUAUAAAUUACGUUAUAUGACAUGACACCGAUCCGUAAACGAGUCGCAAGAAACUAUCUGCUACACAUGUCUUUUUUUACAACAAACGGUCAUAAUUCGUAUGACAACUAAAGUUGUAUUGUGCUAAACUAACCCAUAUCUUAGCAAUUCAUGUCUUGUUAUCACACAAUAUAAGAAUGCAAAAAGUCAUAAAGAAACUAGAAAGUUUUGAACAAUUCUUCUACUCCCAUACUAAGCACUUUAGAGUUGUUUCAAAAUGUUUCGAUAGAGCGCGUCCUAGUGACCGACCCUAGCAGACUUGGAGGAGUAUGUUGUGGGAGGACAUAUAUUACAAUAUUGAAGUUCUUCCUAGAGAUGGAGCUCCAAAGACCCAUCUUCGUACCAGCAUCAAGGUUGUGUGAAUCAUCGACAUGAUUAGAAAAAUCCUCCUUAGUUGGAGUGCGGAGAUCGCUCUUCUUGCAGCGGUACACCGACGAAUCAACACAAUCAUGAGAUAUCUUUUGACGAAAGCCUGCAGCUUCUCACUUGGGAGGUUAGUAAACGAAAGCUUACUCUUAUGAGCCAUCCUCUUCUUCUCUCUUAUUCAUCCACUGAGAUUCUCUCUUCUUAAAUAACAAAAUUAUCAUUGAAAUAUCGGCGAUUUAAUCUUUACACAACAUGAGAAUAUCUAAAUAUUGCAAUAUUUGCGCGAAACUCACGAAAUCUUGUUAAUAAAUCAGCCCAUUUCUCUUUAUUGAGAAAUCGAAGAAGCUAUCCAAAAGGUUUUGCCAAGCCUACUCGUAUAUAUGGUCAUUAACUCGGCCCAAACUUAUGAAAUUAACACUAAAGUCUUGGCGUAGCGUAGGUAACAUGAUUCGAACCCAGGUUGUCACAUGUUAUAUCUCACAUUCUCAACCAAUCCUCUUAAGUCUUAAGAUACACUUAAUAGUCUAUUAUAUAAACUCUACAUAUAUUUUCACACUUUUAAACUUUCCUUUCGAAAUUUUAUUAAUAUCACUAUCAAAAUAUCUAUUUUUCUGACAGUCGAAAUUUUCUCGAAACGCGAUAUUUUAGUCCUUAAUUUGAUGCCUAAGCUACUUCGCUCCUCCAAACUGGGCCGGUGUUGGAUCAAACAAACAGAAACUUGAAAGGAGGAGAACGAUACAAGUCAUACAACUACGUUGAUUUUAAACAGAAACUUGAAAAGAGAACGAUACAACUACGUUGGUUUCUAACCCAAUGGAUGCCUAUGUUUGGGCCAAUAUUCCAUUUUCCUUUUUAAUAAUUUUUUUUCUUUCUAGCAGCUAGACAGCUAGUUAACCAAUUGUGAAGCUACACAACUAGGACUUGCAGCGGAAAACGACUACCACGCGUUGCAUGGAGAGGUUAGGUCCUGCAUGCAACUCCGCCGCCCGUAAAUCUCCUACUGACAGCUCUACCCCUCGAUUUGCAGAUACCGAUGUAUAACCCGAGGACAAAACGGUAAUCGUUGAUACUCCGAGCCGGACAUAAAACCAUCCAAGAACAAAGAAGAGAACCACCACCGGAAAAAUGGCCGGACCACCUCUACCUCCACCUCUUCUAACGUGUUUGGUGGGUGUUGCAGUCUUAAUCUGCGCACUAACCCUCUGUGUUGCCCUAGAUGUCAGCCCCCAAGACCCAAUCAUCCACCAAGUCACAGACCAUGAUACUAAUAAGCUCCUUGGAACCGAAAAAGAGUUCAAGAUUUUCAUGGAGAAGUAUGGGAAGAAGUACCCUACUAUGAAGGAGUACAUGCACCGCCUCGGUGUUUUUGCCAAGAACAUGAUCAGAGCCGCCGAGCACCAAGCUCUGGAUCCGACGGCGGUUCACGGCGUCACGCCGUUCUCGGAUCUGGAGGAGGAGGAGUUCAAGAGGAUGUACACCGGCGUAAGAGGUGCGCCCGGCUUAACCAACGGCGGAGGCGGUGCGGGAAGCACGGUUGAGCUUCUGGAUGUUAGCGGGUUGCCUGAGAGUUUUGAUUGGAGAGAAAAAGGAGCUGUUACUGAGGUCAAGAUGCAGGUAGUUAAUGUUACAGUUUCUAAUUUUCGUUUUUUUAUUAUUGUUUUUUUAGGUUGGUACUACACAAUAUAUGUGAUUAACAGUUUCGGACCGUACUUAAAUCCUAGCUUAUUGCAAAUCAAGUUAUGGCAAAUACGAUAUAGAAUUCUCGUAGCUGGUUGUAAAUUACUAAAUUGUGUAAUCUGAAGUCGAUCAGCUGAUCAGGUGCUGCUGGUUCUUUUGUUUAAUUGAUUGUAUAACUAGCUUGUGUUUGAGAGUUUGAAGUUUUGUACAGAAAGAUUUGUCUAAUGGAGCUAGGGUGUUUGUGGAACACGGAAUUUUUCUUCAGGCAAGGCGUUGUAUUGUGAUACUUAAAGCCUCUAAAUCUCUUGUUAUGGAUGCAGGGUGGCUGUGGGUCAUGCUGGGCCUUUAGCACAACAGGAGCUAUUGAAGGAGCCAAUUUCAUUGCCACUGGGAAGCUUGUUAGUCUCAGUGAACAGCAGCUUGUUGACUGUGAUCACCAGGUAAUUAAGCCUAGCCUCUCUGGAAUAUAUUGAAGUACUCAUUUAACUUUAGGGCGAUAAAAAUUUAAUUGAUUGAGCAUAUAUAUAAUAUUUGGCAUGCCUACUUAAUUAGUUUCGUUUAAUGUUUGUGGCAACUAUAAUCAAGUGUGAUGCAAAAGAGAAAGAUGCAUGUGAUCGUGGUUGUGGUGGCGGACUUAUGACAAAUGCCUACAAGUAUCUAAUGGAAAGCAGGAGGGGUUGCAAAGACGAGGUUUCAUACCCUAUACGGGGGAAAAAAGGGGCGAAAUGCAAAUUUAAUCCCUGAAAAAAGUAGCCGUGAGAGUAACCAAUUUCACCACUAUUCCCCUUGAUGAGAAUCAGAUUGCAGCGAACUUGGUCCACAAUGGUCCUCUUGCCAGUGAGUACUAAACCUGAUAAUAUGCUUAAAAAUAGCUAGGCUUUUUAUGUAUCUAUGUGUGCGUACAUAGAACUGCCUUAAGUGUCUUAUUUUCUGAAUAUGAUGUGCACUGUUUAGCAUAUUUAGAUCUGAGUGUAGAUACACCCCACUGAUACAGAAUCUUAAUUGAUGUAUGUAUGCGCAGUUGGCUUGAAUGCUAUGUUCAUGCAAACCUACAUUGGCGGUGUGUCAUGCCCUCUUGUUUGUUUCAAGAAAUGGGUGAACCACGGUGUUUUACUUGUUGGAUAUGGUGAGAGUGGCUUCUCGAUUCUCAGGCUCAGCAACAAGCCGUAUUGGAUCAUCAAGAAUUCAUGGAGCGCAAAAUGGGGAGAACAUGGUUAUUACCGACUUUGCCGAGGCCAUGGCAUGUGUGGGAUGAAUACUAUGGUGUCUGCAGUUGUGACCAGUACUCGGGCAUCCUAGCUGCAUCUCCCGAGAUUAGCUAGUAUACAAUUAUACACUAUAAUAUAUAUAUGCACCUCUCCCUUGUUUUUUCUUAAUCCGAAUUUGAUGUUCCUAUAAUCAUAUUUCAAGAAUAUUAUUGUUAAUAUGCCGAAGUGGAAAGUCUUGUUUACGUCAAAACCAAUUCGAACCAUAUUAUGUUAGCUUUAAAUGCUAGAUUGUCAGACUUCAAAUUUAAGUCGGGAAAAUUUUACAAUGUGUUAAUGUAUGUCAUGUAUUAAUUUUAUCCUAAAAUUGUAAAAUGAGUCUCUAAAAUAGUAAUAUUAGUACUCGAAGUUGUAAUAUAUAUGAGUAGUUGUAAAUUUUAUAGUUACAACAUUAGUCAUCAUGUGUCCUUAAUGUGUCUUUAAAGUAAAUUUUAUAGUUACAACAUUAGUUAUCAUGUGUACUUAAAGUGAUAAAUUGCGUGCUUAAAGUCGUAAUUGAAUCCUUAAAGUGAUUAAAAAAAGUUUUUAUAUCUUUGAGGAUUUGUAUUACAACUUUGAGGACUCAAUUACCAUUUUAAGGACACAUGAGGAUUAAUGUUGUAACUAAUUUUUUUUACAACUUUAAAGACUUAUAUUACAACUUUGAGGACUAGUUAAUAUUACUCCCGUAAAGACUCGAUCAUUUUAUAACUUGAGGACAAAGUUGAUGCAUCACAUGCAUUAACACACCAAAGUUGAUUCUCCACAAGCUUGUUGAAGAACUUGGUAGAAGUUUUGAUUUGUUGAAAGGCUUGAAGACGAGGGUUGAUCAAGGGCCGUAGAGGGUUGACGUUGAUCGAGUUUGGGCCACGAGCAGUUCCAUAUGGUGGUUGCUCUUCGUCUUGUAGUUGGUGAAGAUGUCUGCUAUUUAGCAAUUUGGGACUCUUUGGGAUUUGGCAACUUCUAAGCUUGAGAUUGAUGAAGAAUCGGCUAUUUGGCAACUUGAUGAUUCUUCAACGGUUUUGGGAGAAUUCUGAGUUCUCGGGAGUAAUUUUUUUCUCUUGUCCGGAA